rnacentral:rRNA from 1 species
ACAAUGGAGAGUUUGAUCCUGGCUCAGGAUGAACGCUAGCGGCAGGCUUAACACAUGCAAGU